rnacentral:misc_RNA from 1 species
GAUGAAGAACGCAGCGAAAUGCGAUAAGUAAUGUGAAUUGCAGAAUUCAGUGAAUCAUCGAAUCUUUGAACGCACAUUGCGCCCCUUGGUAUUCCGAGGGGCAUGCCUGUUCGAGCGUCAUAUUAACCACUCCCGCUUGCGGGGUCUUGGGCUUCGCCUCCGGGCGGGCCUUAAAAUCAGUGGCGGUGCCGUCGGGCUCUACGCGUAGUAAAUUUUCUCGCGAUAGGGUCCCGGUGGAUGCUUGCCAACAACCCCCAACUUCUUAAGGUUGACCUCGGAUCAGGUAGGGGUACCCGCUGAACUUAAGCAUAUCAAUAAGCGGAGGA